rnacentral:rRNA from 1 species
UGGGGAAUAUUGGACAAUGGGCGAAAGCCUGAUCCAGCCAUGCCGCGUGUGUGAAGAAGGUCUUCGGAUUGUAAAGCACUUUAAGUUGGGAGGAAGGGCAGUAAGCGAAUACCUUGCUGUUUUGACGUUACCGACAGAAUAAGCACCGGCUAACUCUGUGCCAGCAGCCGCGGUAAUACAGAGGGUGCAAGCGUUAAUCGGAAUUACUGGGCGUAAAGCGCGCGUAGGUGGUUCGUUAAGUUGAAUGUGAAAGCCCCGGGCUCAACCUGGGAACUGCAUCCAAAACUGGUGAGCUAGAGUAGGGCAGAGGGUGGUGGAAUUUCCUGUGUAGCGGUGAAAUGCGUAGAUAUAGGAAGGAACACCAGUGGCGAAGGCGACCACCUGGGCUCAUACUGACACUGAGGUGCGAAAGCGUGGGGAGCAAACAGG